rnacentral:lncRNA from 1 species
CAAGAGACCAAAAUAACACAGAAUUUAAGAACUAUAGGUCACCGUACGGCCUUCAACAAUGAGCAAAGCCCAUACCGCAUAGUCAGCUAUAAAAGGCCCCGAUAUGACAAUGUAAAACAAUUCAAACGAGAAAACUAACGGCCUUAUUUAUAUAAAACAAAAUGAACGAAAAACAAAUAUGUAACACAUAAACAAACGACAACCAC